rnacentral:rRNA from 1 species
AUUGAACGCUGGCGGCAGGCCUAACACAUGCAAGUCGAACGCGUGGCGGACGGGUGAGUAAUGUCUGGGACACUGCCUGAUGGAGGGGGAUAACUACUGGAAACGGUAGCUAAUACCGCAUACCCUCAGAUGUGCCCAGAUGGGAUUAGCUUGUUGGUGGGGUAACGGCUCACCAAGGCGACGCUCCCUCGCUGGUCUGAGAGGAUGACCAGCCCAACCGGGACCUGGACACGGGCCAGACGCCUACGGGAGGGAGGAGUGGGGAAUAUUGCACAAUGGGCGCAAGCCUGAUGGAGCCCUGCCGCGGGUAUUGAGGAGGGCUUCGGGUUGGAAAGUACUUUCAGGGGGGAAGAGUUACCCGCAGAAGAAGCACCGGCUAACUCCGGGCCAGCAGCCGCGGGAAUAA